GAUGAACGCUGGCGGCGUGCCUAACACAUGCAAGUCGAACGAUGAAGCCGGAGCUUGCUCUGGUGAAUUAGUGGCGAACGGGUGAGUAACACGUGAGUAACCUGCCCUUGACUCUGGGAUAACUGCGGGAAACUGUAGCUAAUACCGGAUACGACCCUCGGAGGCAUCUCCUGGGGGUGGAAAGAAUUUCGGUCAAGGAUGGACUCGCGGCCUAUCAGCUAGUUGGUGAGGUAAAGGCUCACCAAGGCGACGACGGGUAGCCGGCCUGAGAGGGUGACCGGCCACACUGGGACUGAGACACGGCCCAGACUCCUACGGGAGGAAGCAGUGGGGAAUAUUGCACAAUGGGCGCAAGCCUGAUGCAGCAACGCCGCGUGAGGGAUGACGGCCUUCGGGUUGUAAACCUCUUUUAGCAGGGAAGAAGCGAAAGUGACGGUACCUGCAGAAAAAGCACCGGCUAACUACGUGCCAGCCGCCGCCGUAA
rnacentral:rRNA from 1 species